CCAAACCUGGCCGCGCCUUUUUUCCGGUACGGAAACCCUUGCGGCAGCAGCUGUAUAUCCCUCUUUCCUGAAAAUUCUCCCAGCUAUUCCCUUGAGAGAGAGAGAGAGAGAGAGAGAGCAUUAGCAGCCAUGGCGACGACCAGAGUACAGAGGAUCAUGACCCAGCCCAUUAAUCUAAUUUUCCGGUUUCUCCAGAGCAAAGCUCGCAUUCAGAUUUGGCUCUUUGAGCAGAAGGAUAUGAGGAUCGAAGGCCGUAUAAUUGGUUUUGAUGAGUACAUGAAUUUGGUUCUUGAUGAUGCCGACGAAGUCAAUGUCAAGAAAAACACUAGAAAGCCAUUGGGGAGGAUUCUUUUGAAAGGGGACAACAUAACGCUGAUGAUGAACACGGGAAAAUGAUGAUCUUCGCUCUGGUGGGGAUUUUGUAUUGUGUGGAGUGCAGGUAUCUGAGCCAUGCAUUAGGAGGGUCACACCUUGUAGAUAAUCAGGUCCACACAUCAGGAGGGCCACAUAUAAUGGCAACCCCAUUGGCUGAAGCCAUUGCAGGACCCGUGCAAAUCAUAGCGGAUCACAUCGUUCCGAGCCUGGAUCUGAUUGGGAUUGCUAAAAUAUGUUGUUUCUGAGCCACUCAUCUUUUCCAUGUGGGGGUUUGUAGGGCCCGGACUUUGCUCCUAAACUCAGUCCCCGGGCUGGAAAUCUAGGCCUGGGAGACCAAGGAAUGGAAGGUUUAAAGGCACUCGGAAGCCAUUUCCAUUCCCGAUGUACACGUGGUUUAAAAGCACUCUUGGAAGUUGGAUCUAUGAUCAUAUUUCAAUGAUCAAAGUUAUU